rnacentral:rRNA from 1 species
CAAUCCCACAAAUCUGUUCUCAGUUCGGAUCGCAGUCUGCAACUCGACUGCGUGAAGCUGGAAUCGCUAGUAAUCGCGGAUCAGCAUGCCGCGGUGAAUACGUUCCCGGGCCUUGUACACACCGCCCGUCACACCACGAGAGUUUGUAACACCCGAAGUCGGUGAGGUAACCUUUUGGAGCCAGCCGCCGAAGGUGGGACAGAUGAUUGGGGUGAAGUCGUAACAAGGUAGCCGUAUCGGAAGGUGCGGUUGGAUCACCUCCAU